GAUGAAGACGUAGCAAAAUGCGAUACUUGGUGUGAAUUGCAGAAUCCCGUGAACCAUCGAGUUUUUGAACGCAAGUUGCGCCCGAAGCCUUUUGGCCGAGGGCACGUCUGCCUGGGCGUCACGCAUCGCGUCGCCCCCCACAAUUCUCCGUAAAGGGAACAUGUGUUUUGGGGGCGGAUAUUGGUCUCCCGUGCUCAUGGCGUGGUUGGCCGAAAUAGGAGUCCUUUCGAUGGACGCACGAACUAGUGGUGGUCGUAAAAACCCUCGUCUUUUGUUUCGUGCUGUUGGUCGCAAGGUAAACUCUUUAAAAACCCCAAUGUGUCGUCUCUUGACGACGCUUCGACCGCGACCCCAGGUCAGGCGGGACUACCCGCUGAGUUUAAGCAUAUCAAUAAGCGGAGGA
rnacentral:misc_RNA from 1 species